UUAAAUGGCCGCGGUAUUUUGACCGUGCUAAGGUAGCAUAAUCAUUAGUUUUUUAAUUAAAAGCUGGAAUGAAGGGUUGGAUGAAAGAGUAGCUGUCUCUAUAUAAAUAAUUGAAUUUUAUUUUUAAGUUAAAAAGCUUAAAUGAUGUUAAAAGACGAGAAGACCCUAUAGAGUUUUAUAAGGAGGUUAUUUAUUUAAGUAGAAUUUAAAUUUAUAGUAUAAUUUAUUUAUUUAAUUGGGGUGAUUGAAAAAUUUAAUAAACUUUUUUUAUAUUUUUAUAUUUUUAGAUAAUUAAUUGAUCCAUUUUUAAUGAUUAUAAGAAAAAAUUACCUUAGGGAUAACAGCGUAAUUCUAUUGGAGAGUU
rnacentral:rRNA from 2 species